rnacentral:lncRNA from 1 species
CAACAAAAGCAGCGGAUGUAGCAGGUUCUUAGGCAAGGCCCCCACUGAUGAGAGCCUCUGGCUGUGGGCCAGGCUCAGGCGGCCUCAGAAAGGCCACAGCACAGGUCCCAGCUGAACCACAAACUGCUGCCCCACCGUCCCCAGCUCACAGCAAAACAGAAACUUGAAGCAGACACUGCUCCCCAAAAGCAGUGCCCCAAAAGAUGCUGGGGCAGGCACCAUGGGCAAGGCUGUCUCCUUCUGGCCCUGCCAUCCUGCUGCUGGCACUCUGUGGCAGCAUUACCUCCCUGAACAUCUGCAGCUCCCCAGGUACUCGUGAGUCCUUCCCUCCCAGACCCAGGGCACCUGGAAGCCCAACCACUGUGAGCUCUGCCCUAAGGCAGCCCUUCACUGCUGUGUCUCCUCCAGGGGAUCUCCGAGCUCCUGCUCUCCAAAUGAACUCAACUUCUGCUCAGCCAGGUACCACAGUUGUGCUCCAGUGUAUUCUCCCUGUGGUGUCACCCGUAAUACGAAUCAUCAUCUGCAAGGAUGGGAAGGAGCAGUACAGCCAGAAAGCCCAGCAAGGGCAGCUGAACUACUCCGUGGUCCUGAACAUCACGUCAAGAAGCGCAGGAAGAUAUACCUGUGGGUACCAGGAGUGGAAUGAGAUGAAACACAUGAGGAGCUCUGCCCUCAGUGCUGGCCGCAACCUGGAUGUCCCUGGUGAGUCACGGCCCAGGGCUGGAGGGGUGUUAAGGGAAAGAGGCACUUGCCACCACAUGGCUGUGCUGAGGCUGGAGCUGUGUGCUGCAGCAGGCUCUGGGGUGGUUCCCCCAUGGGAGUGUUCCCUCUCCUCCAAGGCAGCCCCUAGACAGAGAGAGCUGCUCUCAGGGGGUUCCCCUGUCCCUGCAGCACCACCUCUGCUGCAGACAUGGGGCUGUGCAGGGCCCAGGUACAGAGAGCAAGGUCUGGGGAUGUGGAUGAAUGCUGGAUGAGCCAGGGAUGCUCCAAGGUCUGCGCUGUGCAUUGAUGAGCCUAUGGCAGGGCAAGUGGGAUGACUGUCACGAGCAGGCCAAGGACACAGCAGUGAGGACAUGGCAAGGACACAGCAGCAGGGUCAUGGGCACAAGCGUGUGGGUGCCCCAGCUCUCACUCCCUCUAAACAAAACCCUCUGUGCCCCAAGUUGCAGGUGCUGGCGUGACCACCCAGGACAUCUGCAGCUCCCCAGGUGAGGUUGAGCGUGGGGAUGGGUGACUGAAGAGAGGUGUGUGUGGGGUGGCGAUGGCAAGGGAGAGGGAAUUUGUUCUCUGGGUGUGAGCUCCUGGGAAGGAAUCACUUCCCUGCAUGGAACACAAAGCAUUUUGUGUCCAGUUCUGGGAUUCCCUGUACAAGAGGGGCAUAGAACUACUGGAGAGAGUCCAGAGGAGGGCUGCAAAGAUGAUCAGAGGACUGGAGCCAAGAGAACAGAGCCUGUUUAGCCUGGAAAAGAGGAGACUGAGGGGAGACCUCAUCCAUGUCUAUAAAUAUCUGAGGGUAGGUUUUUGAGAAAAUGGAGUUGGUCUCUUUUCGAUUGUGCCGAGGGAAAUGGCAAGAGGCAACGGGACCAAACUGAAGCACAGAAAGUUCCAUCUGAAUAUGAGGGGCAUUUGUUUACUGGGAGGGUGACAGAGCACUGGAACAGGCUGCCCAGAGACGCUGUGGAGUCUCCUCUGCAGAUAUUCCAAAUCCACCUGGAUGCCAUCCUGUGCAGUGUGUCCUUACUGAUCCUGCUCAGCAGAAGGUUGGACCAGAAUCACAGAAAGAUGAGAGUGGUGGUGCCAUAUUUAAUCAGCAGGCACAUCUUGGCCAAGAUAUACUUAACCACUCAUGAGGGAAUUUAGACAGCACAUCCAUGGGAG